rnacentral:rRNA from 1 species
CUUUGGGGUGUGACUGCGUACCUUUUGUAUAAUGGGUCAGCGACUUAUAUUCUGUAGCAAGGUUAACCGAAUAGGGGAGCCGGAGGGAAACCGAGUCUUAAUUGGGCGUUAAGUUGCAGGGUAUAGACCCGAAACCCGGUGAUCUAGCCAUGGGCAGGUUGAAGGUUGGGUAACACUAACUGGAGGACCGAACCGACUAAUGUUGAAAAAUUAGCGGAUGACCUGUGGCUGGGGGUGAAAGGCCAAUCAAACCGGGAGAUAGCUGGUUCUCCCCGAAAGCUAUUUAGGUAGCGCCUCGUGAAUUCAUCUCCGGGGGUAGAGCACUGUUUCGGCUAGGGGGCCAUCCCGGCUUACCAACCCGAUGCAAACUGCGAAUACCGGAGAAUGUUAUCACGGGAGACACACGGCGGGUGCUAACGUCCGUCGUGAAGAGGGAAACAACCCAGACCGCCAGCUAAGGUCCCAAAGUCAUGGUUAAGUGGGAAACGAUGUGGGAAGGCCCAGACAGCCAGGAUGUUGGCUUAGAAGCAGCCAUCAUUUAAAGAAAGCGUAAUAGCUCACUGGUCGAGUCGGCCUGCGCGGAAGAUGUAACGGGGCUAAACCAUGCACCGAAGCUGCGGCAGCGACACUGUGUGUUGUUGGGUAGGGGAGCGUUCUGUAAGCCUGUGAAGGUGUGUCGUGAGGCAUGCUGGAGGUAUCAGAAGUGCGAAUGCUGACAUAAGUAACGAUAAAGCGGGUGAAAAGCCCGCUCGCCGGAAGACCAAGGGUUCCUGUCCAACGUUAAUCGGGGCAGGGUGAGUCGACCCCUAAGGCGAGGCCGAAAGGCGUAGUCGAUGGGAAACGGGUUAAUAUUCCCGUACUUGGUGUUACUGCGAAGGGGGGACGGAGAAGGCUAUGUUGGCCGGGCGACGGUUGUCCCGGUUUAAGCGUGUAGGUGUGUGUUCCAGGUAAAUCCGGUUCACUUUAACACUGAGGCGUGACGACGAGGCACUACGGUGCUGAAGCAACAAAUGCCCUGCUUCCAGGAAAAGCCUCUAAGCAUCAGGUAACAUCAAAUCGUACCCCAAACCGACACAGGUGGUCAGGUAGAGAAUACCAAGGCGCUUGAGAGAACUCGGGUGAAGGAACUAGGCAAAAUGGUGCCGUAACUUCGGGAGAAGGCACGCUGACACGUAGGUGAAGUGAUUUACUCAUGGAGCUGAAGUCAGUCGAAGAUACCAGCUGGCUGCAACUGUUUAUUAAAAACACAGCACUGUGCAAACACGAAAGUGGACGUAUACGGUGUGACGCCUGCCCGGUGCCGGAAGGUUAAUUGAUGGGGUCAGCGCAAGCGAAGCUCCUGAUCGAAGCCCCGGUAAACGGCGGCCGUAACUAUAACGGUCCUAAGGUAGCGAAAUUCCUUGUCGGGUAAGUUCCGACCUGCACGAAUGGCGUAAUGAUGGCCAGGCUGUCUCCACCCGAGACUCAGUGAAAUUGAACUCGCUGUGAAGAUGCAGUGUACCCGCGGCAAGACGGAAAGACCCCGUGAACCUUUACUAUAGCUUGACACUGAACAUUGAGCCUUGAUGUGUAGGAUAGGUGGGAGGCUUUGAAGUGUGGACGCCAGUCUGC